GUCACUUCUCAGGAAUCACCUUUUGGUUUAUUAAAUCAAGAUUUGGUGUAUAAGAUUUUGGUGGAUUUUUCCCUUCCAUGUUGCUUUUGCACCUGCUUCCACUACUAAGAACAGUCAAAUUUAUCCCUAUGCAGGGAUUUGCACAGAAUCUAUACAUUUUUCAAAGACGUAGUGAGAGAAGAGCAGCUGCCACACAGUCACUUGUGGACACAUUACUAAGCCACUGCACAUGCUGUCCUCACCUAUGACUUAGUGCCUGCCUAUGGGCUAUCUGUGGUCUGCAAAGAGCUUCUUUCUUGUCCCCACUCAGCCACCAUGCUCAGGACAGCCAGGAGCCACCUGGGGAUGAUGUGUUCCCAGUGCUGAGUGGCUCCUCUCCCAUGGGACUGGCAGUAGAGCUGCCUGGGGGAUGAAUGCUUCACUUCAUGAGGGCUUUCAAGACACCUACAUGUGGUUUCAUUUUGGGGUCAUGAAAUUCCAUUUAAUUUCAAUUUCAAAUGAUUAACAUCAUGUAAAAAUACCAUAACAUCAAGAAAAAAGUUAUUUUAAAAUGAAAAAUCAAAACAUUUCAUUUUGUAAAUGUCAAAACAAGCUGUUUCUUUGAGACAACAGGAAGCUGCUAGCAUCCUUUUCUUCCUUUUUCUGUCAGAUGACAUUCCAAGUAAAUUAGCAUAACUUCAUGAAGCUGUUUUACAGAACUACAAAUUCUGACUGAAUACAGUCUGCCAAAUUUUCCCCAGUAAGCUGUGAUGAGCUGGGGCCACAAAUCAAAACAAAACCAUCACAAUGAAACUCCACUCAAUUAAAAUCCAAUCACAUGAAAUCUGCAGUACCUUCAGUGCAAUGAAUAGUGCUAUUCUCAUUUGCAGGAAGGAAAGCAAAGGCACAGAACAACCUUUCCGAAAGCGUGGGAUUAAUUCACAACUCCAUCACACACUUACUAGAUGACUAUGUGUCAUUUAUUGAGAUCCAUACUCUCAAGGAUAUUGAAGUGUUAACUCCCACUGAGCUCAAGGGAUUUUGCAAAGCUUGAUCUAAAAGAGACAAGAGCAAGCUCAGGUGCUAGGAUUACACAGUUGCCUAUUUCUGGACAACUGAAGACAAAUGAGUUUCCACACUGGACUGCAAAAUGGCACAUGACUGUGAGCUUGUUACCCCACAACAUGGAUUCAAUAUUGAUCACAAGAGCAAAAGCAUGUCCUGAUGUACUGGAAAAUAUAUUUUGCACACUAACAGAGAACACAAUGCAACCCAUGUGAAAGCCACCACUUAAAGGUCUUCUGAACUUCUAAGACAGGAGACGAAAGCAGACUGCAGUGUUCAGCACCCUUUCUGAUGACCUGGAGUGAACUAAAGUCUUUGUAGCAACAUAAUUUAUGUUGCUAGAAUGCAAUUAAGUAAGUUUGCAGUACAAAAAGUAAAUGUUACUUCAUACUUCCUUCUUUCCUUAUGAGAUGUGAUAAAAUGCUAAAUGUAUUAUUCUCACCUGUAUUUGUAGCAACAAUGGUGAUAAUUUACAUUACUUUGUCAGGUAUUCUGACCCACAAGACAAGCCAUUGCCUGACAAUUGAUUGCAUUUCAUUAAAUCAAGAAAAUUCAAGGAAAAAACAUAUUAAAGAGAUGGGAGCAAAGGCAUACUGUUUUCCACAUACAGCUCAACAAAGGUUUGAUUUAAGACCAGUUGAAUUAUUAUGGAUCAAAACUGUUUCAUUUCUGUGUCUUUCUUUGUUCUGUAAAAUAACAUAAUAACAACAAUGAUGAUGGUGAAAAUUUUAUAUUUGAACUUUUCCUAUUAUCUAAUAGUGUCUCAGCAUUUUGCAACCAAUAACACUUUGUAAAGCACAUCAUAGUGAAGUCUCAGUGUUUAUGAUGUAAACCAUAUGAUGUCCAUGUGUGCAUUUUUUCAUAUAAAUACGUAUCUAUAUAGUAUAUAUAUUUUUCAUAUAAAUACGUAUCUGUAUAGUAUAGAUAUUAUUAUCCUCAUUGUGCAAAUGCCAGAAUGAAAUGUUUAUGAAGCUUUCCGAUGGUCCCAAAGUGCUGGAGAAUGCUAUCUGCAAAUGCUAUCUGGGGCUAGAAAGGAAGUCUUAUUACUCUAAGGUUUGAGAAUAACCAACCAGACCAUGAAAGCCUGCUAUACUUAGCAUAAAUAGGAAAGGCAGGCCACAGACUAUCUCCUCUCACAGACAUAUUCUAGACAAAAGAAAAAAAAUAAUGAAACAAAAUCCACACUCAUGGAAUAGAUAAAAGUUCAGGUGAGGACAGAAGAGAUGCAGCUUCUAUUUCAUAUCUGCCCAUAAAAGGUUUGUUUUCCACUCACUUUGUUCAUUUAUUAAUGUCUUAUUCACAGCUGUUUAGACUGUCACAGGACAGUCUCUGAUACAGAACUGCAGUUCCUGGUCAUUGAGACUUGGUGCUGUUGGGAGAUGUAGAUCCUACAUUAAUAUAAAUGUACUAAAAGAGACAUAAUAAACAUGGUAACAGUGAA